rnacentral:tRNA from 2 species
GUCCUUGUAGUAUAAAUUAAUACUCUGGUCUUGUAAACCAGAAAUGGAGACAGAUCUACUCCCCGGGGCA